GAUGAACGCUGGCGGCGUGCCUAAUACAUGCAAGUCGAGCGAACAGACGAGGAGCUUGCUCCUCUGACGUUAGCGGCGGACGGGUGAGUAACACGUGGAUAACCUACCUAUAAGACUGGGAUAACUUCGGGAAACCGGAGCUAAUACCGGAGAAUAUAUUGAACCGCAUGGUUCAAUAGUGAAAGACGGUGUUGCUGUCACGUAUAGAUGGAUCCGCGCCGCAUUAGCUAGUUGGUAAGGUAAAGGCUUACCAAGGCGACGAUGCGUAGCCGACCUGAGAGGGUGAUCGGCCACACUGGAACUGAGCCACGGUCCAGACUCCUACGGGAGGCAGCAGUAGGGAAUCUUCCGCAAUGGGCGAAAGCCUGACGGAGCAACGCCGCGUGAGUGAUGAAGGUCUUCGGAUCGUAAAACUCUGUUAUUAGGGAAGAACAAAUGUGUAAGUAACUAUGCACGUCUUGACGGUACCUAAUCAGAAAGCCACGGCUAACUACGUG
rnacentral:rRNA from 1 species